rnacentral:rRNA from 1 species
UACGUAGGGCGCAAGCGUUGUCCGGAAUUAUUGGGCGUAAAGAGCUCGUAGGCGGCCUGUUGCGUCCGCUGUGAAAUCCCGGGGCUCAACCCCGGGCCUGCAGUGGAUACGGGCUGGCUAGAGGCAGGCAGGGGAGAACGGAAUUCCUGGUGUAGCGGUGAAAUGCGCAGAUAUCAGGAGGAACACCGGUGGCGAAGGCGGUUCUCUGGGCCUGUACUGACGCUGAGAUGCGAAAGUGCGGGGAUCAAACAGG